UUUUUUUUUUUUUAUAUUUAUAUAUUGAAGCGUCAUAAUUCUUGUUCUGUAUCUCAAAUUAUGGCCAAUAAUAACAUCUUACUUCUGUUUUCAAAACACAGAUGGAAAUCUAUUGGGAAAUUACUCAUUUUUGCUUCACAGUUUUCCAUCCGGAGAUUUGGACAAAAAAAGAACUGACUAAUUCGGGAACAGGCCUUCAUGUUCUUUAUUUCAUCUACUGUGGUUCUUUGGUAUCCGAUAGAACUCUUUAUCAUUUGUUGCUAAAAAGAAUUACCCAUUUCAACAAACUCAAUGCUCUGUUUAAAAAUGACCUUGUUAUGCAACAUACCAUUCUUAAUGUGUAUUCCAGGCGUAGAAUUCUGAAUGAUGCUCGUAUGGUGUUCUACGAAAUGCCUAAUAAAGCUGCAAAAUUUGGACUGCGUUGCGUGCUCACAACAUGCAAAAUUUGGACAACGGUAUAGUCUUAUAAUAGCGAUUGCUAAAAACUAGAUUGAAAUUCCUCCUUUGGUCGUGGGAGUUAAUCAUGCAUAUUGUUCAAGAAUGAGAGGCAAAAUGCAAGUUGGUGCAAAUAGACAAGCACAAUAAGAGUUGAGUUGAUUUGUAUUGUACUGUACUGUAUUGGUGAAAAAGCGUAAUAAAAACUGCAUUGAGAAGAUGAGAAGCAAAUAUAAUGGGCAGAGUAUUCUUGUUAACGCGGAAAAAUGAUGUGACCAAACGAGUGGAGCAAGCAAAGCAAAGCGUUAGUUUACAAGUAGAAGAGAAUAGAAAACGUGAAAACUGCAAGAAAGGUGGUGGUAGAGGAGGAGGCCCCUUAAUUAGCACUAAAAAUAGAGUAUUAAAUGGAGGCAAGAAAGGAUCAAGAGAAAGAAAGGAACGCAAAAUCAGGAACCAACCCUCAUCUCGUUUCAUUCUUUGCCGUUGCUAGAAAGAGAGAGAGAAUGAAAACAAAAGCAAAAGGGCAAACACAGGGUAAAUGGCGUGACACAAGAGAGAGUGUGUAUGUGUAUUGAGACGGUUUAGCUUAAAAUCGCGUAGCGUGAGAGCAAAGCUUAAUCAUUUUACAUAUAUCAUUCUUCAACACCCAUCACAUAAUCCUCCCUGCCAUUUCCAUCUUGCGAACAAAACACAGAUAAGAUCAGAAAGAAAGAAAAUAAGCAGAUCAAAAGAAUAAAAAUGGAGAUGGAGGAGAACAGCAAGAAGAGAGGAAGAGAUGUGCAAGAGGCCAAUAAAGAGUUGUUGCAGAAGAACUCGAAAAGGCAAUAUCAUAAUGAUGAAUCAGAAUCGGCAGAAAAUUAUUUGGGGUUUGGAGUAUUCGAUUUUCCAUGGCUGAAAGAAGGAACGUUCUCAAAAUCAGAGGAGUGGCAUUUUGAGGACACAUUUUCGAUAUCUCUGCAUGAAAAUGUUGAGAAUAGUUACAUAACAGCAGCAGCAGCGGGUGAUUUUUCCUGUCAAUGCUUGUUUGAAACAACAGAAAAAGAAAAGUGCGUAGAUACUCAUAUUCCAUUAGACAAGUUUGAGGAGAUCGUGUGGUGGGAUUGCACCACCUUGGGCUCCAUGCUUGCACAAGAUCAACAUCAAGAGCAAGAGGCUGCCUAAUUCAAUUAAAUUAUUUUGAUUUUUGACCGUAUAUCAUAUUAUGUACAUUUCCCCCGUUUCUUUAAUUUCUUGUUUCAAUGCACAUUAAAUUAAUUAAUUAGGAACCAACAGGACAGGUGAAAUUUACUUUUCAAUUUGCUUUUCUUGUCAAAUUUAUAUUUGCAGUUAACUAUAAUUAAAGCGAUGCCGCAGACAACCGAAGCAUUAGAAGAUUGAGGGAUGAGGUAAUAAUUUACUCAUUCACACAUUGAGCUUUUCAAAUAUUAGCAGCACAAGAUAAUUAAUUAGGUUACUUGCAUUGACCAAUUCUAAAA